rnacentral:rRNA from 1 species
UACGUAGGGUGCAAGCGUUAUCCGGAAUUAUUGGGCGUAAAGAGCUCGUAGGCGGCUUGUCGCGUCGGCUGUGAAAACUCGAGGCUCAACCUCGAGACGUCGGCGGAAACCAUCUGGCUAGAGUCCGGAAGAGGAGAGUGGAAUUCCUGGUGUAGCGGUGAAAUGCGCAGAUAUCAGGAGGAACACCGGUGGCGAAGGCGGGUCUCUGGGCCGAUAUUGACGCUGAGGAGCGAAAGCGUGGGGAGCAAACAGG